AACAUACUUCCUCCGUCCAACAAAAAAUGUCUCAAGUUUGUCGAUAUUUGGAUGUAUCUAGACAUGACUUGGUGUGUAUAGAUGCAUUUAAAUUUAAUCAAAAUUAAGACAUCCUUUGUUCGACAGAAAAAGUACUGG
rfam:Brachypodium distachyon strain Bd21 chromosome 3, whole genome shotgun sequence.